CUGCUCUGAGAACAGCUCCACUGUCAGACACAAUGUAGAGUCCAGCAUCAUCCCUGUGUGUCCCUCUGGAUCUGACAGAGGAUCAUCAGUGUAUCUGGACUGCUCUGCUGCUGCUCUGUCCUUCUACAGUCUCUGCACAGUCUCUGUCUGACUCUGGCUUCAGACCCUCCUGGAUCAAACUCACCUGGAAAGACUUUCAAACAUCACUCAAUAGAUUUGAAUACAGAAUAGAUUUGAUAUAUACUGUAGAUUUGCAGUUUGUCACUUGUAAAUACAGUCUGUGAGCAGCUCUGAGCUGAAAGAUCUUUCUAAAAACACGAAAUGUUUUCACUCUUCUGUUGCUUUUUCAUAUAUUUCCACAACAUUAAUAUUGAUCCCACCUGUCUCACCUGUUUCAUGCUUUUAUACAUAAGAACAGGACACAUGCGAUCUGAGCGCUGCUGUGGUUGCUGUGCUGCACGUCUUCAUUUAGAUAACAGAGACAUCUAGUGGUUCAGAGGGAGAACUGCAGGAGGUGGAGCUGUGUUUUAGCAUGGAAAACUUUUUAUCUUUUAGGCGCAGAUACAAAUAUGACAAGUAUCAGUGUGAGAUACAAAAGGUCACAUCAGUCA